rnacentral:rRNA from 1 species
AUGGAUGCCUAUGUUCUGAAUAAACAAUAUUUACUUGAACCUAUAUGGUCUGAAAAAAGUUUACACUGCCAAUAUUUUUCCGUGACCUGCCAAGGAAUUGAUAUUCCAAUCAAUCUACUGAUGCGGUAUUUGUGGGAGAUGAAGAGUAGCGACGGGUUCAAUCUAGGGGCCGUCUUUCUCGAGCUACAUUCAUGCUUCACAGCAGUUCACCUUCCCACAAUUGCUCAGGUUGCACAUCUGCUGGCCGAUGUGAUUAUGGAUGCCCUGUAUCUUGCAGUUCUUUCUAACCGAGUAUUAUUGCAGAUUCCAAAAUAG